GUAGGGUGCGAGCGUUAAUCGGAAUUACUGGGCGUAAAGCGUGCGCAGGCGGUUAUAUAAAACAGAUGUGAAAUCCCCGGGCUCCACCUGGGAACUGCAUUUGUGACUGUAUAGCUAGAGUACGGCAGAGGGGGAUGGAAUUCCGCGUGUAGCAGUGAAAUGCGUAGAUAUGCGGAGGAACACCGAUGGCGAAGGCAAUCCCCUGGGCCUGUACUGACGCUCAUGCACGAAAGCGUGGGGAGCAAA
rnacentral:rRNA from 1 species